rnacentral:rRNA from 1 species
UUCCAGACUCCUACGGGAGGCAGCAGUGAGGAAUAUUGGUCAAUGGGCGAGAGCCUGAACCAGCCAAGUCGCGUGAAGGAUGACGGCCCUACGGGUUGUAAACUUCUUUUGUCAGGGAGCAAUUGGGUCCACGCGUGGGCUUAGCGAGAGUACCUGAAGAAAAAGCAUCGGCUAACUCCGUGCCAGCAGCCGCGGUAAUACGGAGGAUGCGAGCGUUAUCCGGAUUUAUUGGGUUUAAAGGGUGCGUAGGCGGUCCGUUAAGUCAGCGGUAAAAUUGCGGGGCUCAACCCCGUCGAGCCGUUGAAACUGGCAGACUUGAGUUGGCGAGAAGUACGCGGAAUGCGCGGUGUAGCGGUGAAAUGCAUAGAUAUCGCGCAGAACUCCGAUUGCGAAGGCAGCGUACCGGCGCCAGACUGACGCUGAGGCACGAAAGCGUGGGGAUCGAACAGGAUUAGAUACCCCCGUAA